UACGGAGGGUGCGAGCGUUGUCCGGAAUCACUGGGCGUAAAGGGCGCGUAGGCGGCGCGGGUAGUCAUCGGUGAAAGUUCAGGGCUCAACUCUGAAUCGGCCGGUGAUACUCCCGUGCUCGAGCACUGUAGAGGCAGGUGGAAUUCCGGGUGUAGCGGUGGAAUGCGUAGAGAUCCGGAGGAACACCAGCGGCGAAGGCGGCAUCCUGGACUGGUCCUGACACUCAUGAGCGAAAGCGUGGGGAGCGAGCCGG
rnacentral:rRNA from 1 species